UGUGGUGAUUGAGUAUGUUGUAUAGGCUAUAAGGGUGUCAAUGAUUGUAUGUUUGAGUAGGUGUUGUGCGGUUAUUUAUUCUCAUUUCUUAUUAUUUUAAACAGACCCGGGAGGAAACGAUGAUGAACCAGCCAGACAGCCCGCCCGCCACCCGGCCGAGCUGUAGUGUAUGCCAACAUGCUGACAUGCUAAAAUUUGUUAGCACUUCAAGAUCUUAUAAUGGAAAAUUGUAUCCAAACUGAAGUAUAAACCAGCCUGGUUGCUGUAGCCACAGAGGAAUUUUCAAGGACAAGAACCAGUGCUGGUCAAAAUGUGGUCUCAAGUGGUUUUCCAUACCGGUUCUCGGCAAGGAUUUCCGAGAAAGGAAUACCGUCUACAAAUCAUGAUGUGCCAAUAAGCUCCAGUUAGCUGUGGCUUCCCCCCCGGCGGUAGUCCUGAAAUCUAAAUCCAGGAGAUGCAGCUCUGAAUCCAAUAUUUCAAAAAAAUGAAGAUGUU